AUUGAACGCUGGCGGCAUGCCUUACACAUGCAAGUCGAACGGUAACAGGUCUUCGGAUGCUGACGAGUGGCGAACGGGUGAGUAAUACAUCGGAACGUGCCUAGUAGUGGGGGAUAACUACUCGAAAGAGUGGCUAAUACCGCAUGAGAUCUACGGAUGAAAGCAGGGGAUCGCAAGACCUUGUGCUACUAGAGCGGCCGAUGGCAGAUUAGGUAGUUGGUGGGAUAAAAGCUUACCAAGCCGACGAUCUGUAGCUGGUCUGAGAAGACGAUCAGACACGCUGGAAGUGGUAAACGGCCCAGUGUCCUACGGGAGGCAGCAGUGGGGAAUGUUGGACAAUGGGCGCAAGCCUGAUCCCGCAAGGCCGCGUGCAGGAUGAAGGCCUUCGGGUUGUAAACUGCUUUUGUACGGAACGAAAAGCCCCGGGUUAAUACCCUGGGGUCAUGACGGUACCGUAAGAAUAAGCACCGGCUAACUACGUGCCAGCCGCCGCGGUAA
rnacentral:rRNA from 1 species